CACAAUGAGGUCUCCCUGGAGCCUUCUCUUCUCCAAGCUAAACAAGCCCAAAUCCCUCAACCUGUUUUCAUAGGAGAGAUGCUCCAGCCCUCUGAUUGCCUCGGUGGCCCUCCUCUGCAUGCUCUCCAAAAACUCUGCACACACUAGUCCAAAGAUGGACCCCUGGGGGACACCGCUCGUGACUGGCCCCCACCUGGACAUAGAGCUGCUGAUAACAACUCUCCAGCUACAGCCAACCACCCAAUUCUUUAUCCACCUCAUAGUCCAGCUUUCAAAUCCAUCUCUCUCCAAUUAAGAGGUAAGGAUGUGGUGUGGGACCAUGUCAAAGGUCUUGCACAAGUCCAGGUAAAUGACACCAGUUGUCCUUUCUUUGUCCACCGAUGCCAUCACUCCAUCCUAGAAGGCCACCAGACCGGUCAGGCAUCAUCUGCCCUUGGUGAAGCCCUGCUGGCUGUCUUGGAUCACCUCCUCAUCUCUCAUGUGCCUUCACAUCUCUUCCAGGAGGAUCCACUCCAUGCCCUUCCCUGGCACAGAGGUGAGGCUCACCGGCCUGCAGUUCCCUGGGUCUUCCUUUCUCCCGUUCUUGAAAAUAGGAGCCAUGUUUCCUUUUUUCCACUCACCGGGGACUUUGACACCUAUGGCUUUUCAGAUAUGAUGGAGAAUGGCUCAGCAACCACAUCAGCAAGCUCCUUCAGGACCCUGGGGUGCAUCAACCCUUCACCCAUCUUCACAAUGGCCACUAAACCACACCCUCAGUGCUGCUCUACGUAGUUCUUGACCACCUCCAGGGAUGGUGACUCCACCUCUUCCCUGAUGUGACAUCAAGGUGGGUGAAGUAUCAUGCUUUAAAGCAAAGGAAAUCUCCCUCCCUGGCUUUCCGGAUGUCCUUGAAGGUCAAAUAUCCUCCCAGAGACGCACACGGAGUCAUGACAGGAGCCUGUCAUUGUUUUCUGUGCUACUUUUCUGUAAGUUCCUAGUAAAUGGACCAGAGCCAUGCAUUGUUUUGGCUUUUUCUGAGCCUUUGAAGAGGGAGGUGCAGCCUUGAAAGAGUUGGAAGAGCUCUGGGGGAAAGAAUAAUGACACUUCUGUGCAGGCUGAUUGCUUUGAUUGACAUUCAUCCUUUUUAUCAGCAAUACUUUCCAUUCAUCUGCUGUGAUCACACAUUAUUUUUGUUCUCAAGCAAAUGGAAAGGAGUUGUGAAACUUCCUGAACUCCAGGUGAAGACCUGAUAACUGGAAAAUUGGAAACACUUGUGUAUCGUUAGGGCCAUAAUUAAUCUCAUCGUGAUGGCUGUUAAAACCAAUACUAAGAGCAGCAUCUAGUGUUUGGGAGCGUUUUUCCUCACGGGUCUUGUCUUUGUUUCCAUCAGUUAUCCCACUGAAAUCUGCCACAAUGCCUGUGGACUAGAACUGAAACGUGUUCUCCUACCUGGACCCAUACUGCUGGUUUAACCCAUGUGUAACCAAAAAGGAGGCAAGUAAGGCUUGAUAUCCAUAGCCUGAAGCGAUUGGACCGUGGGGAGCAAGGCCAAUGAGCAAGGCAUCCUCUAACACCCUGCCAAGCCAACCUAAAGGUGGUGGCAGUGAGAAUGACUUUAUUUUGGAGCACACAUGAAGUGCACAUUCUGGAGCUUGGGCAGCAGCGAUGGAGAUGGAUAUGUGAUGCAGAGGCUGCCCCAGGGUCCUGCCCAGGCCUGGAGCACACAGAUCCAUGGCACUGCUGCCUGUGCAGGCAGCUGGAGCCGACGGGAUGCGUUGGGCAGAAAUGCUAGAUUAGCAAAAGCCUCAGCAAGUAACAUAAAGCCUCGCUUCGAAACAUUAGCUGUUGCCCACAUGAUGUUAUCUUUUCAACUUCCCAGGACAACAAAGCACCGUCUGUUAGGGUUGCUGGGUGUCUUUUUUUUUUUUUUUUGCAAGGGAAUGUCACGCUGACAAAAGCUGUUUGCAGGACUGCCCUGCAAAGCUCAGCCUUCUUGUAUGCACAUGAGCAGGGGGAGGACAGGCACCAUAAUACACGCAUCCUGCCCCGCUUGGCUUGUCCACCAUACAGGCAGCCCCUGAGGGCAUCCUUCCAGCUCCCUGUGUUGAAAGAUACAAACAGAUAGAGAAGGCUACACCCCACGUGGAUCCUCUAACACAACAGCUUUGUGGCUGUGGGUCUGUGCUCCCCAUGGCGUGCCCAUCUUUCAAAUCAUGCUUUGCAAGUCCUAGUGGCUCGGUGACGUCCACAGCUCGAUCUUAACCUGGUGCUGGUGAUUCUAUGUUGAGAAGGGGAAAGCAUCCAAUUGAUAUUUCCCGAAGAGCCUGGUGACCUUGGGAUUCUCCCUUCCCACCUGCGCUCUUGGAGAUGCUUUGAAGAGCGGAGCCCCAUGGAAGCCAAGGAAGAACAAGGAGCAGGUCUGGGCUUGCGGUGUCUGCCCAGCUUCCCUCUUGCCAGGGGCACCGCAUACAGCGUGCACUGUGCCUGGGCUGCAGCUUAGCAAGCCUGAGAAUCAGGCCCAGAAACAGUCUGCCAAAUAUUUACAGAUGCUUUUGGGAACAACGAAGGAGACGGAUGAGCCCUUGCUGCAUGGAAGCUCUUCAUAAUGGUGUAAAUGAAAAGAUCCUCGCUCAACCCAAUCCAAAUGGGUGCUGAAUCAGGACUUGGGUGUCAGGCCAGUGAACGCAGGGAGUGACCUCAUCGCAGGGCGAGAACACCUCUCCCUUCUCCCUUGGCUCUUCCAGGCAUUUGAGGAAAAGAUGGGAAGCUCAGCAAAGCCAGCACCAGCGGGGCAGCAAACAGGGUGGUGGGGCUGCUGCUCUCCAGUUCUCUGGUCCAGCCAUCAGGUGACCUGCACGGCUUGUCAGAUCCACCUGGCAAACAAAAGCAUUUUCCACAUGGCUUCCCAGCAAAAGCCUUAGCCACAGGAGGACCACAAUGCUCCAACCUGAAUGUCGCCAGCCCAGACGGGAGUGAAGUGCUGCAGGGGAAGAGGACUGGGUGGCAGUGCUGUCCCUCCACGCCAACUGGUUCAUGAGUAAGAGGUGCUGAGACAGAUGGGAUGUUUCCUUUAGGAGGAGGCUAUUCCUCUUCCAAACGUCCGCCGGCAGCGCUUUGGGCUUGGGGAUGCUAAUGCAUCACUGAUGUUCAUUUCCUGCCAUAAAACUCACCCUCUGACUUUGGCCAGGAGGGCGGGGAGGAAGAUUUGAAGGAGGAGAUUCAUCCCGUGAAAAACACAUGUGAUGUUUAAGGCUUUUCCAGCCUUCUCAGCCUGACCACGGCAGUGUUCGUUGCCACCUCUUCCCACCCCAUUCUGUGCUCCCUGCUCAUAUCCUGUCUGUCUAUUUUCGGCCGCUCACUGGCAAUUCAUUGGAGCUAAAACCUGGCAUGCGGGAGCUCUACUGUGAGUGCAGGUUAAGUGAGCUGACAUCAGUGUAACCGGCUCCGUCAUACUUUGGCCACUGUGAGUCCUGGGACGUGAAUCCAGGGACCCUGAGCCCAGAGCUCAGGCCAAAUUUUGGGCUGUCGGGGCCAGCAGGCCCCGUGGAUGAGGCAGGAGCGGGUUUUUGCAGCAGGAAGAGCUGGUUGCACAGUAACCAGAACAGUCCCAUGGGAGGCGGUUCCACAACCAAAACAACAAAAUUAUGUUCCCUUUGCCCUUUGUUUCGUUUCGAAUAGAAGGAUGUGUGCGCUUGGGUUUAUCGAGAGAAUUUAAAUGGCAGUCUCUAAUCUGACCGUGCAGAAAUGUUUUAACAAUCUCGCUGCAAAAAUAAACCGACAAAAAAACCUCCUGCAAUGGCAAGGAGGAAAAAAUAUACGUGGUCCCUGCAGCACAGGGCUGGGCUGGGAGGGCGGUCUGUAAGCUGAGCUAUUGGAAACCAGGAGUGAUCCCAGUGUUGGAAGGGUGUAGGAGAGCUUCCUGCGAUGCCUCGAGGAGGGAAGGUUUCAAUGACUGAUGAAUGGUCAGGUUGGAUAUUAGGGAAAAACUGCUUCUUAGAGUGGUGAGGCACUGGAACACGGGAGGGAGGUGGUGGAGUCACCAUCCCUGGAGGUGUUCAAGGAAUGAGGAGAUGUGGCACUGAAUGAUGUGGUCAGUGGGCAUGUGGGGGUGGGUUGGGGUUGGACUUGGUGAUCUUAGAGAUCUUUGCCAACUUUAAUGAUUCCAUGAUUCUAUGACUGCCCACAUGCCCUCAGUCCCACUGGGAUUACCAGUCCCAAAAGACUAAAGCUCUGCAGAUGGAUGCAGAGGAGAUGGUUUCUGAAGCAGAAUCCAGCCGGGAAAGCACAGAAAUCCAUUCUGAGAGGGACAGGGAGCCUCUAACUCCCUGUCAUUGAGCAAAUACCAUCUUGGUCCUAAUGCUAAGCUGGGCGUUUUGAGCUAACCAAGGUCGAAUUUAGCUCGAGGUGUCGGGAAACGAGAUGCUGAGACAAGAGGAGCUGAGUGUCAGCCUCCUGCGCAGCGCCGGAGCGGAGAGCAGCUUUGCAUGCAGCGCCUUGGCAGCUAUCUGCACUCGUGUGGCCAAAGGCAGAUCACCUUGGGGUCAGCACUGCACGCUGUGGGAAACGCUAGGGACCGCCGAGAGCGCUGACAGCCCAGAUCUCUCCUGCUGUCUGCACCGGUGCUUUGGAUGGCUCCCCUAACCUUUGGCUGUUUGCUCACAGGGUCUUGGCAGGCAGGGAGCGGAGCAGGAGCGUCUUGGGGCUCCUGCCAGGUGUGGAGCAGAUGUUCUGGGGACCUGCCUGGUCUAGUUUUCAUGUGACGGUGGCAGGCGGGCUGUAAGCACUCAGCCUCCGAACUCUCUUCCUAGGCUGUGAUUAAACUUGCAUGACAUUUCCUUCCAUCGAGCAGUCCCUGGGGCUGGAGCUCUUCUCCUCCCUGCUGGGAGGUGGGCACCUCUCGGGUGUCAGGUUGGGAGCGCACGCCCAGGCGUACUGCAUCAGCCCCUGGAUGUGCCUCAAAGAUACCUGGAGCAGAGAACAAGAACAGGACGGGCGCCAGCUUCACGGGAUGCCCCCCAGCUCUGUCACCAGUAAACAGCUGUUCCCUUGUUCACUGUCUCCAUGCCGCAGGCAGCACCACGGAUCUGGAGGACAGCGGCACCUCAGCUGUGCCUCUUCCACGCCGAAGAGCAUCGGGAGCUCUGUAACCCAAGUCACGCAUACGGGGCCUCUUCCUUCUUUAUUUCUAAGCAGAGCAGAUGCGGCAGCGUGGAGGAGCAGGGUGCUGCCCCUGGUGAGAGCAUUGCUCAGGCAGCUGAUGGCCUGACCACACCUUGGGUGUUACCUGCUCAGCUCCUACUAGCAGAGACCAGCACGAGCACAGCUCUGCUACACUUGCUCUCCAUUUAUCCAGUUCAACCUGCUCUUGCUUUGGUCAGUGCAGCAGCUCUUCUUGCUAUGCUAAAGCUCUUCUGGCUUUUUUUUUUUUUUCAGUUGUU